rnacentral:rRNA from 1 species
UACGAAGGGGGCUAGCGUUGCUCGGAAUCACUGGGCGUAAAGCGCGCGCAGGCGGCUAUCUACGUCCGGGGUGAAAGCCCAGAGCUCAACUCUGGGACUGCCUUGGAUACGGGAUCGCUUGAGGAUCGGAGAGGCAAGGGGAAUUCCACGUGUAGCGGUGAAAUGCGUAGAGAUCUGGAGGAACACCCGUGGUGCAGACGGCUUGCUGGACCGUGACUGACGCUGAGGCACGAAAGCGUGGGUAGCAAACAGG